CUGACUGGAACAUCUGCUGAACAGUUUUGUUAUAAUACAGUCAGUAGGUGCUCUUAAAUGGAAACUUACAGAUUACACAAUAUAAACAGGGUCCUACUGUUGGUGUUGGUCACAGGAGUGAUCCUUGCUAUUACAGUCCAAUUGAAGUCAACACACUGUAGGAUAACAUACUGUAAAGCAUAGUGGUGAUCUUACCUCCAGUAACUGGACUGGCAAUUGCAGAGAUUUAGAAAAAUGAAAAGGAGGUACUUCUCUACUCUGCUGCCCUAUUGCUCUUUUUUAAUUUCAAAGGCUUCUUUCAAGACCACUGUUUUCCCAAAUGGUUGCAAGAUGCUUACAUGUCUUUUUAAAACCAAUAAAAAUACCAGCUCAGCUUUACAAAAACACUGAACUGGAGACAAAAUGACAGAUAGCAUGAUGCUGGAUUAUUCUUGGAAGCAUUAUAUAUGCUCAGCAUGAAAGACUGAAACAUGCAGACUUUUACAGAUACUCAGGCUUUGUCUCAGACUUAGGCACAUAACAAUAAAUGAAAAUACUUUCUUUGCUACUUGAAAUUUAACUGAGAAUUCAGAUUCCAAGCAACAGAUUUAUUAUUUUGAUAUGCAGCAGUGAAUGCAGUAUUAGGAACGCAGUGAUACUGCUUGAGAACCAGAAACCCUUCAUAGUCUAGGACUGGAAUCUAUCAAAUGCUUAUCUAUGUGAAUAAGUUUAAGUAUUUGCUAGUAAAAGUAACCAGAGAUGCUUAAACUUCAGGUGCUUGCACUUGUAGUCUGGUGUUUGAACUAAUUUCUGCAUUUAUAGUUAAGACAGGAAAAUCAGCUGAAAGAUGGAAAAUAUUCAACUGUUCUUUCUCCCUCGCUCCCCAUAUUUGACACAAGAUGUAAUUCUCCACAUGGAAGCUAGGAAGGAAGAGGAUUUUGCUGGUAAGUCUGGAAGAGUUCCAAAAUAUCAUACUCAGUGUUGGCAAACCAAAGAAAUAUGAAAACACCUCACUAAGUAUACACACGACUAAACAUCACGAGAUUUCUCCAGCACUAUUGCUACCAGCUCAUUUAGCAGGAGCCAUAGAAUGAUCCCCUCUCCAGUAAUCAGGCUCAACCUGUUCACUCAAGUUCCAGGUGGCUUCUGAAAGUGUAAGUCUCUCUCAAGCCCCAGUGCCGCACACAAAAGGUAGGUAUAAACAUGUGCUUCUUUUGUGACAAACAAAAGAAGUGUUACACUUUGCUAAAAACACAGAGUGGAGCAUCUGUCCUGCAGCCUCAGUGUCACAGGGCUGGAGAUGUCAGUGUGAGAAUUCUUCAUCAGAUUCAAGGAGAAAAUUGCUAAUUUAAGAAGAUAGUGCUUUUCCAGAGAAAAUCUUCAUGCGAAUGAAUGUCCCAAAUCAUAGGGGGAAUGCAUCAUUUUAUUAUUGGUGGGUUCAUCUGUAGGACUUUGGUUUGUCUUAUAUGACAUGUAUAUUUGUCUUAUAUAACAUAUAUCUACUUUAAGGAUGCGCCUUUAAGGAAGCUCUAGGUAAAAUAGAAAACGAUUUUGAGACUAGGGUUUAUGACAUGGCAUGGCUGUAAAGAAGUCAAUCCACCACUGCUGCCUUCAUUGAGCUACUCUGGAUUUGGUUUCUUUACAGCCUUAUUCUUCUAAGCCUGAG